UCACUCUCUCCCUGCAUCCCCCUGCAUCCCCCAUCACCACCAUCACCAUCUGCUCCUGGGCUCUCUUUGUUCUACCACGUGGCCAUCACCCACGAGGGGACAAAGCCAUCCCCAGCACAGUCAGCCACCUUUGCAGCCUGAUCAGCCAAAUUACUGCCAGGUACAUGCAGAGCUGUUCCCUUUGGAUGUCCUUUUACAUGGACCACAGCUGUCUCACUGGGCCCUUUUAGAGCCUCUAGUACCCAGGUCCUCUCUUACCUUGGCUGCACUGUGAGUCCAUCUCUGCAGUCCUGUUCCAGCUGAGAUCCCUCCUCUGGAUGUCCGUACAAAAGCUGGGCCAGGUUUGAGUUAUUGGCUACCCUGAUGCUGAUUCUCUGCUAUUUAACAGCAUGGCCUCGAGUUUCAAGGUUCUAGCAUGGGUCAGCCACUUUUCAGCUCUCUGGUUCAAUGCACUCCUCUCAUUAUGGGCAGUACAAACCUUCAGGGCUGCUCCAGAUGUUCUGUUUCCAGCUUCUUGAACCGCAGGGGCAGUAGCUGCUGCUGCCUGUGAGCAAACAGCCCAUCCCCUGCUCACUGGAUCCAGCAGCUCAGACAGGUGAGCUGCCCCUUCCUCUCUCUCUAUUCCUGGCCAA